rnacentral:lncRNA from 1 species
AUAAUGGGAAUCAACUGUAUUUCCCAGUUCUAAAACCAAUAGCUCCCCACAGCCUAUAGAAUAAUAUUCUAAUUUCUUAACCUCAGGUGUAUUAUUACAGUCUGCACCACUGAUAGAGGACUUUUUAUUCAGCCAAAUCUGUGUAUUUUUCAUGUUGUAUCUAGCUUGGCAGUAUGUGCCUCAAGUCUGCCAGGAUGAUCUUCUCCUGUCGUAUCUGCCCUGCCACACUUGGUUGGCCCUUAUAGACAAGACUGUGUUGUAAUUAUCAUCACACCCUUCAAAGUGUAUACCUGUCAUUCUUCAUCUAUCUAUCCAUCUACCUACCCACAACUCAGCGAGCCUCUACUUUGUGCUAGACCUGUGUAAGUACUGUGCCAGAAACUGAGGGUACAAAGGCAAAUAAGACAGUAUAGCUGCUGCCCUAAAUGAACUUAUACAGAGCAAUUCCCAGAGGGCCCUGACAUAAAUGAGGUAAAAAAUCUCUAUGAGGAAAUACGCCUGUCUCUCACACUAGGAAAAACACCAUAAAGUAACUCAGGAAUAUUUCCAAUUAUGAAAGAAAUCUGCUGGUUUGGUAAAACAGAAGACAAAUGUUAAACUCUAGAUAUUUCUAAUUGAACACCACUCUCAAUCUUUUGUUAUUAGGCAUGUAAGGCACAUUGUUUGAUAUCUUUACUUGAAAACUGGUAGUUUCCAAACAGUUGAUAUUGGACAAAGAUUCUUUGUCUUCUUGAAACCAAAACACUGAAAAAAAAAAAGAAAAAAAAAAGAGGAAGGAGGGAAUGGGGUUGGGGAGAAAAAUAAUCACCAUUACCAUCACACCAGCUAUACUAUUAGAUUCUUACCCUGUGUUAAUUUUAUAUAUAUUAUAUACAUUAUAUAUAUUUUAUAUAUUAUAUUAUAUAUUAAUACCAAUAUAUAACAUAUCAAUAUUUUAUAUAUAUAUAUACACACACACAUAUAUAUAAAAACUUGGGAGGUUGUGCCUGGUUUCUCCUGGACUUUGCCCAUGUACCUUUUCUCCUUGCUGAUUCUGCUUUGUAUCCUUUUGCUCUAGGAACUCAUAGCCCUGAGCAUAAUUAUAUGCUGAGUCCUACGAAUCUUCCUAGGAAAUCACAUAUAUAUGAAUGAAACAUUUUAUAUCGAUUUUUAAAUGCUCACUACAUGCCUCUGAAGCAGUCAAGCAGUUUAUUGUGGUUUAAUGAUGAGAUGCAUGUGCUGAGGAGGUAAUCAGAAGAAGUGAGAAAAGGAGACGGUGUGAAAUUUUGAAGAUUUUAUAUGCCAUGAUGCAGAAAUAAAAGUUCAGCAGGGUCAAGUAAGUUGUCCAAUGUUCAGUAUGAUGGAGUGGGAUUCACAUGCAAGACUAACUACCACUGAACCAUUUACUUCUGACUUUGCUAUUCUGCUUCCACUCACUGAACAUCUCUCUGAGCAAGGCUCAGCACCUGGUAUGAAGGCUGAAACAAGAGCGGUUGCACAGCAAAUGUUUUGCUAUAAUGAGAGAAUACAUGAAUUAAAUGCGAAUUAAACUGCUUCUA